CCGUACCAAAGCCGGCCACCCUAACGUGGUGCUACGGCUCAAUUCCCCGCAAUAGGGGACGCCAAGCGCCUG
rnacentral:ribozyme from 1 species